CAAGGCUUGACAUAUAGAGGAAAAGUGCAGAGAUGCACUCCCCGCAAGGUCUCUAUACAGGUGGUGCAUGGUUGUCGUCAGCUCGUGUCGUGAGAUGUUGGGUUAAGUCCCGCAACGAGCGCAACCCUCGUCCUAUGUUGCCAGCACGUUAAGGUGGGAACUCAUGGGAUACUGCCGGGGUCAACUCGGAGGAAGGUGGGGAUGACGUCAAAUCAUCAUGCCCCUUAUGUCUUGGGCUUCACGCAUGCUACAAUGGUCGGUACAGAGGGCAGCAAUACCGCAAGGUGGAGCGAAUCCCAGAAAGCCGGUCUCAGUUCGGAUUGAGGUCUGCAACUCGACCUCAUGAAGUCGGAGUCGCUAGUAAUCGCGAAUCAGCAACGUCGCGGUGAAUACGUUCCCGGGUCUGUACACACCGAAUCUAGAGCAUCGGAGCGACU
rnacentral:rRNA from 1 species